CGGCGAUGUGAGCGAAUACUAAACUCUCUUUGUUUUUCAUACACAGGAGGGUACACAUUCCUUUGAAACUCCACGAAGUAGGCGUCAACAAAACAACGAUGAAACAAACAGGCAAAGUAACACUCCAUCACCUGUUCGAUCGAGAAUUUCAAGGCGUGGUGGUCGUGAACAGCGUGGGCGUGGCGGUCGUCGUGGACGUGGAGGCCGUCUGAAAUCAUAUCAACACGCUGGAGGUCAAUCCGUGAUCGGUUUUUGCGUGACCUCAAUCAUGAACAAACAGUGCCAAGUGGUUCUAGGGCUUCUAGGAGAAAACCAUGCCAAUAUGCACCCCAUCUUCAAUUUCUUUG